AUCCAGCUGAUGAGUCCCAAGUAGGACGAAACGAACGUCAAACUGGAU
rnacentral:hammerhead_ribozyme from 1 species